GGGGGGGAGGGCGGGGGGAGGCACUUGGAGAAGAGGGUUUAUGGCAGAGACCCGAGCGUGUUGUCAGGUUAGGGGAAAGAUCCUGUUGAACUGGAUAAGGUGAAGAUGAAUUGGUAUCAGUUGCAUUGCUGGACAUGUAACUCCAUUCCUUGCGUCAGCCAGGGAGAGAAGGUCUCAUUUCCAUUAUUUGCGAGAGAAGGCUGUUUAAGGACAAAUAGAAAUUAAAAAUAAGGCUAAUUCUCCCAGUUGAACAUAAGGGAAGAGAGUUUCCUGGCCUCCUUUUUCUUAAAUUUAGAAAACUUUCAAAAGCAUGAAGAAGUGGAGUGGGAAUUCCAGCCCUCAUCUUCCACAGAACCUUUGAUUUAAUGAUGACAUAUGGACAAAAAUACCUUUAUGAAAAGUCCAGAAUCCAGUUAAGAAGUUGUGGUAACCCAGAUGAGCACAAAACAAAGAACAGCUGCAUUGAAACAGAAUAAAAAUGGAGUCACUUGCAUAAAAAAUUCUGACAAAUGGAGCAAGAAAAGGCCAUGACAGGAGGGACUCAUGCAGGAAUGCCUGAUAACAAGAACUGUCACAAAAGACUCUGCAAAACCACAACCUGAGGAGGCAGAGAAAGAUGGCAGAACAGAAGCCUCCACCAAUUGUACUUCCUACAGGAACACCGAAUUUAACAGCUAUAUACAUAAACAAGCACGUUUAUAAGAACCAAAAUUCAGCAACAUGCCCUCCAUGUUGGAACGCAUUAGCAAAAAUUUGGUCAAAGAGAUUGGAAGCAAAGACCUGACACCUGUCAAAUACCUAUUGAGUGCCACCAAAUUACGUCAGUUUGUUAUAUUACGAAAGAAGAAGGAUUCUCGUUCAUCAUUUUGGGAACAAUCUGACUAUGUUCCAGUUGAAUUCUCCCUCAAUGACAUCCUGGAGCCAAGUUCUUCAGUCCCAGAAACUGUUGUGACAGGACCGUUCCACUUCAGUGACAUUAUGAUCCAGAAGCAUAAGGCUGACAUAGGUGUGAAUGUUGGUAUAGAAGUGAGUGUGUCAGGGGAGGCCUCUGUGGACCAUGGAUGCUCCCUCGAGUUUCAAAUUGUUACCAUCCCAUCACCAAACCUGGAAGACUUUCAAAAAAGGAAACUGUUGGAUCCAGAGCCAUCAUUUCUGAAGGAGUGCCGGAGGAGAGGGGACAACCUGUACGUGGUGACAGAGGCUGUUGAACUGAUCAACAAUACUGUGCUGUACGAUAGCAGUAGUGUGAAUAUUUUAGGGAAAAUUGCUCUUUGGAUUACCUAUGGCAAGGGUCAAGGCCAAGGAGAGAGUCUCAGAGUGAAGAAGAAGGCGCUGACUCUGCAGAAAGGCAUGGUGAUGGCUUAUAAGAGAAAGCAGCUGGUUAUCAAGGAGAAAGCCAUUCUCAUCUCAGAUGAUGAUGAACAGAGAACCUUUCAAGAUGAGUACGAAAUUUCCGAAAUGGUAGGCUACUGUGCUGCGAGGAGUGAGGGGUUGCUACCAUCAUUUCAUACCAUCUCUCCAACCCUCUUCAAUGCCUCAUCCAAUGAUAUGAAGUUAAAACCAGAGCUAUUUCUGACACAGCAAUUUUUGAGCGGGCAUUUGCCAAAAUACGAACAAGUUCACAUCCUCCCAGUAGGAAGAAUAGAGGAACGCUUCUGGCAAAAUUUCAAGCAUCUACAAGAGGAGGUUUUCCAGAAAAUAAAGACACUGGCUCAGCUCUCAAAGGAUGUUCAGAAUGUCGUGUUCUAUAGUAUCCUGGCCAUGCUCAGAGACAGAGGGGCUCUACAGGACCUGAUGAACAUGCUGGAAUUGGACAGCUCAGGUCAUUUGGAUGGCCCUGGUGGUGCCAUCCUAAAGAAACUUCAACAGGAUUCAAACCAUGCAUGGUUUAACCCAAAGGACCCCAUUCUUUAUCUCCUUGAAGCCAUAAUGGUGCUGAGUGACUUCCAACACGAUUUGCUGGCCUGUUCCGUGGAGAAGAGGAUCCUGCUUCAGCAACAGGAGCUGGGUAUGACCAGCAUGUUACUCCUGGUCCUCUGGAUCCCAAAGCUCUUGCUCCUUUUAUUAUCCUGCAUGGCCCCUGGAUACUGGGGCAGAAGCCUUCUCUUCCUGAUCUUAAAGGCUGGUCUGUAGAACCUGAUCAUCUUUCUUCUAGGGACGGCUCACGCUCUUGGCACAUGGAGGUAUACAGAAUAUCGUCAAUCAAGGAACCUCACCUGAAGCAGGACCCUCAGCAUGUUGGUGUAUGGAGGAGUGGCAUAUUCUCUUGAUCCACUCAUCAGUGAAGAAUAUUUGGAUUGUUUCCAGUUUUCAGCAGUUUUGAAUGAAGACCCUAAAAACAUUUGCUGAGAAUAUGGCAGAGCUUGUUUUGGUUCUUUCCAUCUGAUCACUUCAUCCUUCCAGGCACUGGGCAUCCAGAGUUAAAUAGAUGCAACCCCUGCUGUGGAGAAGCUUACAGUGCCGUGAGAGGAAGUGACAGAUAUACACUGAAUGCCUGCUAAGUGCCUGGCUCCAUUUUUGGACUGGAAAUGGCAAGUAUCUGGGCCAGGAAAGGACUUUGAAGUCAUUGAAUUCAGUAGUUCUCAAAUACAGACCCUCAAACUGGUGCUGCUCGGCGAUGUUUUCACUGCUUUACAGAAAAGUGAGGAAAAGAGAGUGAUGUUUGGAAAGCCAAGGUUAUGACUUUAAAGCAUUUCCUUUCUUCUGAGAUCAUGUUUUUCCUUUUCUUCCCUUCUGUUAAAAUGUGCUUUUUUUGAUUUUUGUUUUUACAGAAUGACUGCAAUAGUGGAUGAUAAUUGAAUUAGUUGUAAUAUCCAUUGUUGGCAAAAAGUUGGCAACCCUCUGUAAUUCCUCUGACUUUUUUUGGUGGAGAAAAUUUGUAUUGGUCUGAGAAAUAGAAAAUCUGGAAAGCAUCCACAUCAACCAGUUUCAAUUCCUCUACACCUGAGCCCCUCCUCCAGCAGCAUCACCUUCCUAAACAGACACUAAGAGUCAUCAUUCCAAGGGCAAGGGAAUUCCCUUCCUAUCUUUAAAUUUAUUUUUAAAAUUUCUUCAUGUUAAUUACUAUUAUUUCCCUAUAAUUUCCAAUAUCAGGUCACUGUUUAUCCAUAUGAAUAUAUUGAUUGAUUGAUUACCUGAUUGACUUUUCAACCAAGUAGAACCAAUAAAAUUUAUUAAGCAUGACCUUAGUGCCAAGCAUCCUACCAGGACCUGGGGACACAAAGAUGAAGAUGGCAAAAUAGCCCUUCCUAUAUUUGAAGACAAAUUCUAUGCCCCCUCUCUUCUACUCCUCCCCUUCACUCCACAUUUCUCUGCAUCCAAUUAACCAUCUCUGAUCUUCAGCCCUUGAUAUGGUUUGGUUGUGUCCCCACCCAAAUCUCAUCUUGAAUUAUAGUUCCCAUAAUCCCCAUGUGUCAUGGGAGGUACCCAGUCGGAGGGAAUUUAAUCAUGGGGGUGGUUACCUUCAUGCUGUUCUCGUGAUAGUGAGUGAAUUCUCAUGAGAUCUGAUGCUUGGCACUUCUCCUGCUGCUGCCAUGUGAAGAAGGAAGAAGGACGUGUUUGCUUCCCCUUCUGGCAUGAUUGUAAGUUUCCUGAGGCCUCCCCAGCCAUGCUGAACUGUGAGUCAAUUAAACCUCUUUCCUUUAUAAAU